rnacentral:lncRNA from 1 species
CUAAAUUAAAAGAAUGAUAUAAAGCAUGAGGUUUAAUAAGAACUUUCAAGGGGUAAUAGUUAUUAUCUAAAGAAUUGAAAGACUAAAUGCUGUAAUGGAAAGAAAAAAAAAAAGAAAAGAAAGAAGAAAGAAAAAAGGACAAAGAAGAAGAAGAAGAAAAAGAAGAAGAAGAAAGGAGAAAGAGAUCUUGGUGCUAUCUUUAAUAGCAAGUAGAAGAGGAGGGCUUGGGAGAAUCGGUGAAGUUUAUUAGAGAUGGAGGAGGCACCAGCAAGUGCAGUAGCAGUGCUGGCAGCAGCUACCAGCAACGAUGAGCAAGGGAAAAAGAGGAGGACGACAAUAGCUUCUUGCCGCCGAGUAGGGCGAUUUCGGUGUCCAUUAGUAAUGCUUCUAGUCUUAGAAUGACCAGUAGCUCAUAGGCUUUCAUUUUUGGUCAUUUUUAUCCUUUAAGACUACUAGAAUAUCGAGAUCCGACGAGAGAAGCUCAUAUGGACAGUUCAGGUUUUUCUUGAUUUUUGGCGACUUCUGGAGAGUUAUGGUUGAUCAGAAUUCAUGGAUGAACUCCUCUCGUCGCCCAGUUCGGGCAGAGCCGUUAUAGUUUCCCCUCUCCUCCACCCGUUUUCGUCACUGAAUGGUGGUUACCAUGGCUGAUUUUUCUUUUUAAAGAGAAAGAUAGUUUUUUCUCACUGCCAACGUUGAGACAUUGCCAAUGUUGAGAACUCCAUUUGUCGCUCCAAUCGAUGAUCAGACACCAGAACCAGCUUCACCACCUUCAAAAACCCAUGUACUAAGAUCGAUAGCCCUUAGCGUCAACGUUUAGUGGAGAAUCAACCUCAUUGGCGUCAAACUUUCACUCAUUCGAUCAGCUGCCUUUUGAGUAGUUUCAAGCAGAGAUAUUGGAUGGUUGGACUCUUGGAAGUGUGGGCUUCAAUUUGGUACCAUCGGAUCGGAUUUCUACUGCCGUAAAAAAUUUUCCGGCGAUGGGCCUGACGAUCUCCAAACGUGUGCUGACAGGCGAAAAUAUAUUUCUGCUCUCGAGUGUCUGCGAGGCUGCCUUGUGUUAUUUUCUCACCCGAGUACAAUAAUUCUUGAACUCGAAUUUAUUUAAUUAAUUAUCUAUCUAUAUUUCAGGUAUUUAGCUAAUAAUUAGAAAUUAUUAGUUAAUUAGGGAUUCAUUUUAGAAUUUAAGUUUAUUAAGUAAAUUAUUAAUUUGAUUGAGG